rnacentral:rRNA from 1 species
GUGAACGCUGGCGGCAGGCCUAAUACAUGCAAGUCGAACGGCAGCACCGUGGAGCUUGCUCCAUGGGUGGCGAGUGGCGGACGGGUGAGGAAUACAUGGGAAUCUGCCCAGUCGUGGGGGAUAACGUAGGGAAACUUACGCUAAUACCGCAUGCGCCCUUCGGGGGAAAGCCGGGGACCUUCGGGCCUGGCGCGAUUGGAUGAGCCCAUGUUCGAUUAGCUAGUUGGCGGGGUAAAGGCCCACCAAGGCGACGAUCGAUAGCUGGUCUGAGAGGAUGAUCAGCCACACUGGGACUGAGACACGGCCCAGACGCCGACGGGAGGCAGCAGUAGGGAAUAUUGGACAAUGGGCGCAAGCCUGAUCCAGCCAUGCCGCGUGAGUGAAGAAGGCCCUCGGGUUGUAAAGCUCUUUUGUCCGGGAAGAAAAGCAUCGGGCUAAUACCUCGGUGUUCUGACGGUACCGGAAGAAUAAGCACCGGCUAACUUCGUG